AUUCUGGGCGUAAGCGUACGUAGGCGGAUCAGAAAGUAUGGGGUGAAAUCCCAGGGCUCAACCCUGGAACUGCCUCAUAAACUCCUGGUCUUGAGUUCGAGAGAGGUGAGUGGAAUUCCAAGUGUAGAGGUGAAAUUCGUAGAUAUUUGGAGGAACACCAGUGGCGAAGGCGGCUCACUGGCUCGAUACUGACGCUGAGGUACGAAAGUGUGGGGAGCAAACAGGAUUAGAUACCCUGGUAGUCCACACCGUAAACGAUGAAUGCCAGUCGUCGGGUAGCAUGCUAUUCGGUGACACACCUAACGGAUUAAGCAUUCCGCCUGGGGAGUACGGUCGCAAGAUUAAAACUCAAAGGAAUUGACGGGGGCCCGCACAAGCGGUGGAGCAUGUGGUUUAAUUC
rnacentral:rRNA from 1 species